CAUAUUGAAUGGCGGUGCAGGCUCGAAGGGCCGAAUGGCCUACUCCUGCACCUAAUUUCUAUGUUAAUACAACUAGCAGUGAUUUGUUGCACAUGAGAAUCCACAGCGUUUAGAUUUGUCAAACUCAUCUGGAUCUGACUCAUCAUUUGACCCAGUGACAUUUUCCUGCAAGUAUUCGGAGAGAAAGUUCCUCGUAAACAGCUGGCGACCACAUCAGUCGGCAGAUGUUUCAUGUUUUCCCCUUGACGCCGUCUGGAGGAGAACCGGGGCCACAAGAAAUCCCACCAACUUGUUCCUCAACAGCUUCUCCAGUGACAGAUGUGGACGGUCACGCAGAACAUGGAGCAAGACAGAUCUUCAGGGAUAUGAACGCCCAGGAACUUGAAGCAGGAUCUUGGAACAUAACUUUCUCCACCACUGUCCCAUCAAUGAAGUCAAGUAUGUGGAUCUGCGGCUUUCUCCUGAGGUCAACAAAUAGUUCUGUGGUCCUGCGGACAUUGAGAACAAAACGUCUGCACUGGCAGCAUUCCCUCAGAUUAUCAAUCUCUUGACUCGUCAUUAUCCAUCAUUUGUCCAACAAUGGUGGUAUCGUCGGUGGAAUUUAAAGACGGGUUUGGGAUGGUCUGGCUGUGCAGUCCUGGUCAUAGAGCAGUGGACUGAGCUGGUCCUGUGUUGGUUAUAGAGGAGGAGGUGUUGCCUGUUUGUGCUGAUUGUGGUCUGCUGAUGAGGAAAUUGAAGAUCCAGUUGUCCAGUUGUACAGGAUUGAGCAGAGACAUGGUUAAGGAGAUGAUCACUGUGGACUUGAAUGACAGAAGAUUGAAGCCACUCAAGACCGGACUCGGCCCGCAGUGGCCACGAACAAGGACAAACCCAGCAGCCGAAGUGACCGCUGAGACAAGGGUCAACUACGGGCCCUCGGUAGGUGCCGGAGGUCAGACUUGUCAUGGAAUGGCUCGCCGUGGAGAAGGAAGAGGAACCAUCGGGAUCAUAUUUGUCACUCAUCACCCCAACAGAAGAAGGACUUCAGGGGCUGAUGGACAGACUGUCUCAUACUUGCAAUGAUUACCGACUGGCAAUCAGUAUUAAGACGAACUUUGUCAUGGGUCAAGGCACUCCGCUCCCCUCUGUAAUCAUCCUAAACACCUGUCAGCUGGAAACUCAUCCAAUUCACCGACCAAGGAUCAACGGUGACUGAUAGCCACUCUCUGGACAAGGAAAUCAAUUCAUCUACAGUAAACUACCUUUCUGUACAGUAACCACAUUCUGGAGGAUAUCCAAGCAGACAUGGAAGAACAGGAGUAACAAUGUCCUAUUGGCAACAUUCCCUCAGAUUAUCAAUCUCUCUCCUGUACUCUGACUCAUCAUCACCCAUUAUUUGUCCAACAACGGUGGUACCGUCGGUGAAAUUUAAAGACAGCAUUGGAAUGGUCUGGCUGUGCAGUCCUGGCCAUAGAGCAGUGGACUGAGCUCACGGCCUUGAGCUGGUCCUGUGCUGGUUAUAGAGGAGGGGGUGUUGGCAGGUUGUGCUGAGUUGGUGGCCUUGCUUGAGACUGACUUUGAGUCCCACCACAGGGCCGUGGACUUACCAUCGGAGCCUGAGAUCCAGAUUCAGAUUCAAACGUAAUUGUCAUUGUGCAGUGUACAGUACAGAGACAACAAAAUGCAGUUAGCAUCUCCCUAGAAGAGCGACAUAGAAUAUGAGCAAUAAAUAAAUAUAUUUACGUGCAUACAGUCAUAGUAGUGCAAUUAUUUUUCUUCCUGGUGGACGGAGUGUCCGGGGGGGUGGGGUUGAUUGGCAGUCACCGAGGUACAGUGUUGAGUAAUGUAACAGCCGCAGGGAAGAAGCUGUUCCUGGACCUGCUGGUUCGGCAACGGAGAGACCUGUAGCGCCUCCCGGAUGGUAGGAGGGUAAACAAUCUGUGGUUGGGGUGAGAGCAGUCCUUGGCGAUGCUGAGCGCCCUUUGCAGACAGCGCUUGCUUUGGACAGACUUCCUUGCCUGGGAUCGACAUUCCAACCACAGCCUGCGGAUCUCAACAUCAAGGAGCUCGCAAUCUCGGGUGGAGAUGUCGGGGAGGUCCAAAGUCGCAGGAGGUUCGAGCUGAGAUCCCCCCGAUGCAGGAGCUUGAUCGCCCCGACGAGGUGGGCCCGACUGCCGGCUACGGGAGCCAAGAUCGCCCCGUCAACAGAAGUCUCGAGGCCCCGACUGUGGGAGAACAAAGAAGGGAAGAGAUUGAACUUUUUCCAGGGUGAUCAUCAGCCUCUGAUUGACCUGAGAUUGACCAAAGGACAAGAUCUGAAGAAAUGGCCAUGGACCAAGGGAAACAUGUAGAAGCUUCAAUGCUCCUGACUCUUCUGUGUUCCUGAGGAGGAUGUGGUGCUACUAGGAAUAGGCUGAGCUGUUUCUCCGCUGAACGGCCUUUCCGUGCCUGGUAUGGGACAUCGCUCGGGACUUCAGGUAAGACCUUUACUUGGGUAUCCUUCCUCUGCAAUUCCCCAUGAGAUAGACCUUACAAACAGUUGUAGAACACUCACUGGCAGCAUAUUCCUGGCUCCCGAUCUCUCACUGUCUGAAGCAGCUCCUGUGCCACCAACAAUGUAGACAGCUGUCCGUCUUCAAACUGCUCUGCCAGUGCAACUUGUCAUAUGUUCAUUGGUCAUAGGACCAAAAUUAGUCCAUUCAGCCCAUCGAGUCUAAUCCACCAUUCAAUCAUGGCUGAUCUAUCUUUCCCUCUCAUUCUCCUGUCUUCUCCCUGUAACCUUUGACCCCCUUACUAAUCAAGAACCUGUUGAUCUCCGCUUUAAAAAUUCCCAAUGACUUGGUCUCCACUGCCGUCUGUGGCAAAUAAUUCCACAGAUUCACCACCCUCUGACUAAAGAAAUUCCUUCUCAUCUUUCUAAAGGUACGUCCUUUUAUUCUGAGGCUAUGGCUUCUGGUCCAAGACUCUCCGACUGGUGGAAACAUCCUCUCCACGUCUACUCUUACUAUUCGGGUCGCUCAGCAUUUGGAGAAACAAUGGGCCUUUGGGAUCUUCAGCGUUGCCUGGCCCUUCAAGUCCAUGGCUGAAGAUCUACCUCCAACACUUUGCUACACAGUGUCAGAGGGGAAAUCGAGCAGAAGCCCAUUGAAGCCUCGUCACUACGGACUGCAACCGGUUCCAAAGAGAGAGAUCAGAUGUCACCAGAUACCCACUGUAACCACUCUGGAAACUGCUCUUCCAGGAUGCAGGACGUUACUCAGUACGUACCCUUCCAAAGGUUGUCUAUGUAGACAGCAAGACUCAACCUGUUGGGGUCAUGAGGUCCAGUGGGUCUAUUGUCCAACCAAGGAGUUGUUCUGAAGUCCUGACCUCCCUUUCUUUGACAGCAGGCGACUCAAAUCCCACCCACCCUUUCAAAGGUUGUUGUAAAAGCCACUAAUAAAGAGCUUUCAUUUUGUAUAUUGAUCUUUUUAUUUUGUGUCUCUGGAAUUCUUGACUCUCAAUAAAUCUCACCAAAGCUAAGAAAUCUGGUUAUGGUGAUGAGUUCACAGAUACAAAUGUGGUGACUUUAUGCUGA